rnacentral:tRNA from 1 species
GCCCCUAUAGCCCAACUGGCAGAGGCAGUAGACUUAAAAUCUAUUCAGUCAGGGUUCGAAUCCCUGUGGGGGCA